GCAAGUAAACUAGUGGUCCUGUGCGCUAUACUCCACAAUAUCGCGGUAAGGAGUAGCGUAGAGCUUCCUCAGACAGAGGAAUUGCCUGAUGAGGAGCCAGGGGUUGUCCGACACUUCGGUGGGGGGAGUGUUACAAGGAGGGGGAGCCAAGUCAGGGCAAGCAUUGUUGCUGAAUUUUUCAGCUGAAAGACCACACAAACUGAGGACGACCACAACGGCAAGCACCACAUGAUGCACCAGCUCAGCACCCUUCCCCUUCUCACUCCCCCUCCACUUCCCAGUCCCCCUCCCCUUCUCACUCCCCCUCCCCUUCUCACUCCCCCUCCCCUUCUCACUCCCCCUCAGCUUCCCAAUCCCCCUCAGCUUCCCAAUCCACCUCAGCUUCCCAAUCACCCUCAGCUUCACAAUCCACCUCAGCUUCCCAGUCACCCUCAGCUUCCCAGGCCCCCUCAGCUUCCCAGGCCCCCUCAGCUUCCCAGGCCCACUCCACUUUCCACUCCCCUUCUCAGCCAACCUCUCCUUCUCUUUCUGUGACCCCUUCUCCUCCUUCCCAUACCCCUUCUCCUUCUACUUCCAACUCACCUUCUCAGCCCCCCUCACCCUCUAUUGGCCUAACAUUUUCACCGCCCCCCUCGCCCUCUCAAUCAGACCCACCCUCUGAAAUUACAUCCCCAAUCCAACCUCCUUCCCCCAUCCAGCCUCCUUCCCCCAUCAAGCCUCCUUCCCCCAUCCAGCCUCCUUCCCCCAUCCAGCCUCCUUCCCCAAUCCCUCCUCCUUCCCCCAUCCAGCCGCCUUCCCCCAUCCAGCCGCCAUCCCCACCCAGUGAAUGGGCAGAGGAAGCCCCUGAAGACAGUUCAGGGAGUCUUCAUGUUGCCGAGGAAAAUGUUGCAGUUGGAGAUCCUACAAGUUUUGGAGGCAUUCUUUACACCAUGCGCCAACACCUGCAAGGAUUAAUGCAUUGUGUUGA